rfam:Monodelphis domestica chromosome 7, whole genome shotgun sequence.
UGGCAAAGCUAAGCUAGGACUUGGAGGCUUCUGGCAGGCGAGGCGGGUGGAGGAGGAAGGAGGCUGACAGAUCCACUGGGGGGAAGAAAAGCCGAACUGGAUUCACCGUGUCCUGGAUGGAAAAGGAGGAGGAGGAAGAGGAGGAGGAGGAGAGGAGGAGGAGGAGGAGGACAGAGAGGGGAACCGCGGAGCUCCUUCAACUCGCGCUGUCCGGUGAGAAGUGAGCAAGCAGGGACUGAUAGGAGGCUCCGGGAGCCCUCGCCUCCUUUCGCUUUUUUACCUGCCAAUCAAACCGCUACAAGACAACACCCUGAUCUGGCAUGGACAU